UUCCCAAAGUAACACGUUACACUAACCUCGUCUGCUUUUCCUCCGUGUCCGUGUCUUCAUCCUGGUCGAACGCAUUCUCUCCAUCGUCUACUAACAAAACAUCGGCCAUUAGCAUCGACGUCAUCACCUCACAGUCGGAUCCAGUAGAACCCGCUGCUCCUGCGUGAUACUCCACCCGUCGUCACGGCCGCUGUCGCCAGGUGCGCGUCACGUGUGGGUCGGUACCGCUGGUCACCUGUUGGACCGGAGUGUGGAGCCGCAUGUUGGCAUGAUCCAUCCUGUAACCGAGCUGUACCGAGUUCAAAACCAGCUUGAGCUCCUGUGAAGGAACCAGUAACACGCGUUUGGGAAACCUGCUUGCUUCGUGCUGCCUCUCGGGUUCGGGGUGACCCUGGACCGGAUCGUUCUCAGGAGGAUGCAGCAGUUCGGCGCGACAAGACUGCCAACGAUCCGUGUAAAGCACCUGCAGGACAAGAACAACAGGACUUAGAUCAAUACGACAAUAAUGUUGAUACUUUGUCAUAUGAAGUCAUAUUAAAUGUUGUAUAAAUAUUCUACAA